UGAGGUUUAAAGGAGAAGGGCCCGGGAAGACGAGGGGUUUUUGACUUUGGCCUUGGCUGGGAUGAUUUGGGAGGAGGAUGUGUGCACACUGCUGCCUGGUCUGCCUGCCACCUCUGCUUGUCCAUUUCAGUCCACCUGGCAGGAAAAUGGAUGGAACGAGAGACCCUUGUGUUAAGCAAGAUAAGCCAAACUCAGAAGGUCAAGGAACAAACGUCUUCUCUCAUUUGAGGAAGUUACAGAGGAAAGAAGAAAAGAAAGGUCUGAAUGUGUAACAGCAAGUGCCAUCGUUACCUACAACCAUAAUGCACCCAUUUAAAAAUGUGGGAAAAAAUAAAAGAGACUGCAGAGAACCUUCUCACUCCUUCCCUCACAUGAAGACACGGUGGGAAGACAGCCAUCUAGGAAUGAGGACACCGAACCUGCCAGCACCUUGACCUUGAACUCCCCAGGCUCCAGAACUGUGAAAAAUAAAUUUCUUUUGCUUAUAAGCUAUUUAGUUAAUGAUAUUUGGUGAGAGUGGCCCACAUGA